rnacentral:rRNA from 1 species
UACGGGGGGAGCAAGCGUUGUUCGGAUUUACUGGGCGUAAAGGGCGCGUAGGCGGCCAGCACAAGUCAGUUGUGAAAUCUCCGAGCUUAACUCGGAAAGGUCAACUGAUACUGUGCGGCUAGAGUGCGGAAGGGGCAACUGGAAUUCUUGGUGUAGCGGUGAAAUGCGUAGAUAUCAGGAGGAACACCUGCGGUGUAGACGGCUAUCUGGACGGCCACUGACGCUGAGACACGAAAGCGUGGGUAGCAAACAGG